CAGUCGUACCUUCGGGUAAUCAGCCUUUCGAGUGCGAUUCUGUGGAGUUUGAGGAGCUUAACACCUUCAUGCUUUGCAUAUUCGUGCUCUUGGGUGUACUUGCCCGUGUGGUUGGUUAACAUCAAUUUUGGUGGUCAUAAAAUGACUGGAGGAAUGUAGCUUCGAUCUCGUAUUGAAGUGUUAUAGCCUUCGGUAGAUGUGAUGAUCGAGAUUGAGGAUUGCAACGGAUACCCCUUCGGGGGCUACCUGUCUGGUCUCUGAUCGUUGCUCUGGU
rnacentral:rRNA from 1 species